rnacentral:rRNA from 1 species
AUUGAACGCUGGCGGCAGGCCUAACACAUGCAAGUCGAACGAGUGGCGGACGGGUGAGUAAUGUCUGGGGAACUGCCCGAUGGAGGGGGAUAACUACUGGAAACGGUAGCUAAUACCGCAUACCAUCGGAUGUGCCCAGAUGGGAUUAGCUAGUAGGUGGGGUAACGGCUCACCUAGGCGACGAUCCCUAGCUGGUCUGAGAGGAUGACCAGCCACACUGGAACUGAGACACGGCCCAGACUCCUACGGGAUGCAGCAGUGGGGAAUAUUGCGCAAUGGGCGCAAGCCUGAUGCAGCCAUGCCGCGUGUAUGAAGAAGGCCUUAGGGUUGUAAAGUACUUUCAGCGGGGAGGCGUUACCCGCAGAAGAAGCACCGGCUAACUCCGUGCCAGCAGCCGCGGUAAUUC